CUGUGGUCGCGGGCCGCCUGCGGGGGGCUCUGGGCCCGAGGAACGGGCGGGCGGGGGGCCCAGCCGGGGCCCCUCAGGCGGGGGUCGGGAGAGCCGGGCUAGUGGGUUUCACCCAGCCAGUGAGGCUCGCCCGGCCGGAGCACAGUGGUCUUUAAGCCCCCAUGAGCUCCGGAUAGCUUUUUGGAACAAGAGCUCUGGACUGCAGAAGAUGAAGGCAAAUGCACCUUAGCGAUGUUGGUGUGAGUAUGUGACUGCAGAUGAUUGGGAUGGGGGCAUAUGGGGGAUGGAGUUGGAGAAGAGCAGAAACAGAUGAUUAAUAGGAUUGACCAUAGACUGGUAAAUCCUUUGAGGUUGAUAUUCAAAGCAAUGCUCAGACACUGAUAUUGUGCUUGGUUGGGGUCACCAUGGGAAAGUUGAUGGUUCAACAGCUUCAGGUAUUCAUUGCUAGAUCAACAUGUCUGUUAGAUCACAGGAGCUAAAUGUGGAGGAAAAAAAAAGUGUCUGACUUUUCCAACCUUUAGGUUUUACUGCCUAAUGAUAUUUAUUUAAUGUUUCAGAUAAGCACUUCCACGGUGAUAAACUAGAAGUGAAAUUAAAAAACCCACCCACAUUACUUAUGAAAAUCAGAGUUAUAAUGCUUCAGACAUGGAGUCACAGAUGCUAGAACAAAUUUGGGUAAGGAUUUAACAAAAUACUAAGUUCAACUUUUGGAUUUGUACAAGUAGUUUAAAAAUGUGCUGCUGCAGAAAUACAAAACUUUGAUCUGGCAUUAAGUUUCUUUGAGAGUUCAGCUUUGUUUAAAACACUUAUUGGAUUAUUUUUGUGCUGUUUAUGUCAACAGUUGUCCCAGUGCAGCAUUUACAUUGUACAGGAUCAGGAAUCACCUGUCCUCUGACAGCCCCUGAAAGCUCAUGUAAAAAUAUAAAAACAGUAUAAGCUCUGUAAUUUAUAUUCUUACUAUUUCUAUCACAUCUAAAUGUGAUCUGUCUAGAUCCUUCUAUUGUUCAUAUUUCUGCUGCUGACUGAUCCAACAGCCAUAGUGUGGCUAUGCACUGUGGUAGUGCCUGUGGAAUCCUGGUCUUAGCUAUGGAUAAGAACUUUUGCAUCCUGGGUAUUUGAGUUUCACUUCCUUGUUCUGUAAAAUCUGUUACUUAGCUGUGGCCCAAGUAACUGAGUGACACUUGUGCCAUACAAUCACUGGAUGCAAAUAAUCCCUCAAAUCAUGCUCACCGAAAUGCUAAAUUGCAAUCAAAUUAAUAACAUGAGGUGGCAGAGUACAUGAGACAGAGCAACAAUUAAUGUAGUUAUUGAAAGCAAAAAGAUAAUGAAGGCUUAGUUUUGGGUUUGUUCUUUUUUACCAUCAACAGAGACAGUUGAAAGCUGAAAUAAUUUUAAAAAUAUAAAGUUACAUCUUUAUUGAUAACUUUGUGGAUCUUUUAUAAGAGAUUAACUGAAUUCAAAUUAAAAAACACAGGAGAAGUAAUAAAAAAAAUCUACUGGGUUUGCUUCUGAAUUCA
rnacentral:lncRNA from 1 species